UCCUUCCCUUUCUUCUUCUCACCUUGUACACUUGUCUGGACACACAUGCUAUCUGCUUAGUGGCUUAUUCAAAGUAGACUAUGAUUCAAACUACAGGAAAUCUGUCCUCCAAAGCUGAUGACAGCCUUCUCUAUUCUCUUCUGCAGAAAAGGCUGGAGCCGCCUAAUUGCUGGGGCUAGAGUGAAAACUAUCAGCAGGCCAUAGGGGAAGAGAUACAGACACACACAAUGGGGGCAGACCUGGGACGAGAGACCCUUAUGGCAACUGCUCCUUAUAGAUUUUGGAACAUGGCUGUGUGGAUUUGUGUCCAUUUAGCCACAAGAGCAUUAGUGAGGUCGGGCACUGAUGUCAGGCAAGAAGGUCAAAAGGAAUAUCAAAAGCUGCCAGACUAUCUGUCUAUGGAAAGUAUCCCAGCACCAGCUUGAGAUAAAGCUAAGUGGGACAAAGGCUUCAUUCUGGUUAUAAUCAACAGGAGACACUGCAAGGACAAAAUGUGUAGUUAGAAUAAUAAAUAACUAAUUUUCUGCAGGUUUAGAUGUAAAUUGAAGAACUGGAUGACCACAAACUGUAGCCUUUUCUGUUAUUCAUACUAGUGGAUAAACCAGUAUUUAUCCAACUAUGCACUACUUUAAUUAUGGAGCAGCAGUAAUGUUGAUUAGCUUUGACAUAGGCGUUGGAUGUACACAUUCCAAUCCCAUAAUUAUAAAGGAUGCAUAAACCACUUAAAUGUCUAGAUGUCACUCAGAUUACAGAAUGAGAUUGGACUAACUGUUACACCCCCAAAGCUAAAUAAUAAUGGAUCUCUUACAGUCUUGUUGUGUAUAUAUUCCAGCAAAGCAUUUUGUGCCAUGUCAUCUUUCAAGCUGACCUCUAUGUUAGUUUAUCAUCAUGGCUUCAGAGUCUUGCUGAUAGGUCAAACAUGCCAAAGGAUCAGCAAUCAAUAAACUUGGAGGAAUAAUUUUACUUGGGUCCUCUCCCCAAGUUCUGGAAGCACACAUCUGCUUCCAAUAUUCCUGCUUCCAGACAGCACACUUACACAAUCACAUACGAGUGACUCCAAUGUCCCAAACACCCCUAUGCACAUCCACCACUCUGCAGACAUAUAUAGGUCUUUAACACCCCACUAGAGGAAUGAAAAACAAGAUGGCGCAGGUCCGGGUAUGUUGUGGUUUUUAUUUUGAAAAAAUUAUAUGCAAACAAAAUUAGUUUUAACUUUAAAACAAUAAAACAAAUUAUGGUAAUGGGGCUAAAAUUAAUGAAAAAUCCUGACUGACCUGGAUGUAUAUCGGCAAUAACUGGGUAGCUAGUAGCAAGAAGAGUGUAAAUUAAAGAUUGUCAUUAGUGAUUCAUGUACUGCUAAUGCAGAUCACUAUGUGCUUUUCAAAAAU